UACGGGGGGGGCAAGCGUUGUUCGGAAUUACUGGGCGUAAAGGGCGCGUAGGCGGCCUUCUAAGUCGGACGUGAAAUCCCUCGGCUCAACCGAGGAACUGCGUCUGAUACUGGAUGGCUUGGAUUCGGGAGAGGAAUGCGGAAUUCCAGGUGUAGCGGUGAAAUUCGUAGAUAUUAGGAAGAACACCAGUGGCGAAGGCGGCUCACUGGCCCGGUACUGACGCUGAGGCGCGAAAGCGUGGGGAGCAAACAGG
rnacentral:rRNA from 1 species